GAUGAACGCUGGCGGCGUGCCUUAUACAUGCAAGUCGAGCGAACGGACGAGAUGCUUUCUUCUCUUAUUUUAGCGGCGGACGGGUGAGUAACAUGCGGAUAACCUAGCUAUUUGACUGGGAUUACUUUGGGAAACCGUACCUAAUACCGGAUUAUUCUUUGAACCGCAUGGUUCGAGAGUUAAAGACGUUCCUCUUGUCACUUAUCCAUUGUUCCGGGCUGUAUUAGCUAGUUGGUAAGGUAACGGCUUACCAAGGCAACGAUGCAUAGCCGACCUGAGAGGGUGAUCGGCCACACUGGAACUGAGACACGGUCCAGACUCCUACGGGAGGCAGCAGUAGGGAAUCUUCCGCAAUGGGCGAAAGCCUGACGGAGCAACGCCGCGUGAGUGAUGAAGGUCUUCGGAUCGUAAAGCUCUGUUAUCAGGGAAGAAAAUAUAUGUAAGUAACUAGGCAGAGCAUGACGGUACCAAAACAGAAAGCAACGGCUAACUACGUG
rnacentral:rRNA from 1 species